GUAACACGUGGGUAACCUGCCCUCGGGACCGGGAUAACUGGACGAAAGGACCGCUAAUACCGGAUAAGGCCACAUGGGCUUCGGCCCAAGGGGUCAAAGUCGGCCUCUCAAAUAAGCUGGCGCCCAAUGAGGGGCUCGCGUACCAUUAGCUUGUCGGUAGGGUAACAGUCUACCAAGGUCAAGAUGGUUAGCUGGUCUGAGAGGAUGAUCAACCACACUGGAACUGACACACGGUCCAGACUCCUACGGGAGGCAGCAGUGAGGAAUAUUGCGCAAUGGGGGAAACCCUUACGCAACAACGCCGCGUGGGUGAAGAAGGCCCUCGGGUUGUGAAGCCCUGUCACGUGCGAAGAACCCUUUUCAGGUUAAUACCCUGGAGAGCUGACGGUACCACCAAAGGAAGCACCGGCUAACUCCGUGCCAGCAGCCGCGGUAAGACGGAGCGGUGCAAUCGUAGUGCGGAAUUACUGGGCGUAUAGCGCGUGUAGGCGGUUUGAUAAGUCGAAUGUGAAAGCCCGGGGCUUAACCUCGGAAGCGCACUCGAAACUGUCAUGCUUGAGUACGGGAGAGGGAAGUGGAAUCCCUGGUGUAGAGGUGAAAUUCGUAAAUAUCAGGAGGAACAUCGGUGGCGAAUGCGGCUUCGUGGACCGAUACUGACGCUGAGAGGCGAAAGAGUGUGGAGCAAACAGGAUUAGAUACAUUGGUGGUACUACACUGUAAUACGGUGAUCAAUUAGGUGUAGCAGGGUAUUGACCCGUCAUGUGCUGGCGGUAACCGCAUUAAGUGCUCACGCUUGGGGAGUACAGCUCGCAAGAUGUAAACUCAAAGGAAUUGACGGGGGCCCGCACAACCGAUGGGGCAUGUGGUUUAAUUAGAUAGCAACGCGAAGAACCUUACCUGGGCUUGAAAUCGCCCGCACAGUCGUUGAAACACGAUCUUCUUCGGACACGGCUGACAGAUGCUGCAUGUCUGUCUUCAGCUCGUGUCGUGAGAUGUUGAGUUAAGUC
rnacentral:rRNA from 1 species